UGUAGAAAAAGUAGUGAGAAGGAAGAGCUACAGCAUCCAAUAAUGCAAUGGCUGGAAGACAAGGAAGUGGCAGAAUAGCUGGGUGGAUGCACUGGAUAUUGGCAAUAAUUCUGAUGCUGUGGGGUCACCAGAUCAGUGGACAAGGACAAGACCCUAAAAGCCAGCCUGGCAGCCUAUGUAGGACUUCAGCAGGAGAGU